ACUGGGCAGAGGUUUGACUGGCAAGCAGCUCUGGGUGUACAUUUCAUCCAAGAGUCUCAUGGUGGUCGAAGGAGAUCCCCAGAUGCAAAAUCAAAGUUGCUUGGAUUUCCAUUUCUUCCCCAUCUAGGAAAAGGGCAAUGGAAUCAAAGCCUUUAAAAAAUGUAGUAAGAGAAAGACUCUCUAAUUGAUCAGAACCUUCUGGCAACCAGCACUUUGGCCCAUCUACUGAAAAAUACUUUAUCAGUGUCUUUAGUAAAGGCCCCCAAGAUGCACAAUACAUUUUUGGUUGUUGAAAUAGAGUGUCUUCUAAGUCAUCAAGUAAAAGAGAAAUUCUGCUCAGAAGACUUUUGGAUAGUACCCAACAUUUGGUGAGGCUUACUAUAUUACAUGCAUUACCUCGCUAAAUCACCACAUUAGAACACUUACAGGGUUAUGACAAAACAAGAAGGCCC
rnacentral:lncRNA from 10 species